GGCCCAGACUCCUACGGGAGGCAGCAGUGGGGAAUAUUGCACAAUGGGGGGAACCCUGAUGCAGCGACGCCGCGUGAGGGAAGAAGGUUUUCGGAUUGUAAACCUCUAUCCUCUGUGACGAUAAUGACGGUAGCAGAGGAGGAAGCCACGGCUAACUACGUGCCAGCAGCCGCGGUAAUACGUAGGUGGCAAGCGUUGUCCGGAUUUACUGGGUGUAAAGGGCGUGUAGCCGGGUUGACAAGUCAGAUGUGAAAUCCUGCGGCUUAACCGCAGAACUGCAUUUGAAACUGUUGAUCUUGAGUACUGGAGAGGCAGACGGAAUUCCUAGUGUAGCGGUGAAAUGCGUAGAUAUUAGGAGGAACACCAGUGGCGAAGGCGGUCUGCUGGACAGCAACUGACGGUGAGGCGCGAAAGCGUGGGGAGCAAACAGGAUUAGAUACCCGAGUA
rnacentral:rRNA from 1 species